CCUAUCAAACUUUACUUUAGUUUAACUGGGGCAGUUAAUUAAUAAAAAUUUUAAUAAAGAUUAAGUACUAAAUAGANNNCCCAACANUAGUUGAUUACANUGAACAAGUUACUGUAGGGAUAACAGCGUAAUAUAUAUCUAAAGUUCUUAUUUUGAUAUAAGUUUGCGACCUCGAUGUUGAAUUNAUAUUACUUUCAAGCGCAAGAGCCUGAAAAGUGGGUCUGUUCGACCCCUAAAUAUAUACAUGAUUUGAGUUCAAAUCGGUGUAAACCAGAUUGGUUUCUAUCUAUUNUUAUUUGUGUCUUAGUACGAAAGGACCUGAAACAAUAUUAUAUAAUNAUUUAUAUGGCAGAAAAAUGCUUUAGAUUUAGGAUCUAAUUAUAAUAGAUUAUUAUACUCUAUUUAACUUGCCUAAUCUCUGUUAUUAGAAUCCUUAUCGCAGUAGCUUUUUAUACCCUCCUAGAGCGAAAAAUUCUAAGCUACAUCC
rnacentral:rRNA from 1 species